GUGUCAGCAGCCGCGGUAAUACAGAGGUCUCAAGCGUUGUUCGGAUUCAUUGGGCGUAAAGGGUGCGUAGGUGGCGAGGUUAGUCAGGUGUGAAAUCUCGGGGCUCAACCCCGAAACUGCACUUGAUACUGCCUUGCUAGAGUACUGGAGAGGAGAUUGGAAUUUACGGUGUAGCAGUGAAAUGCGUAGAUAUCGUAAGGAAGACCAGUGGCGAAGGCGAAUCUCUGGACAGUUACUGACACUGAGGCACGAAGGCCAGGGGAGCAAACGGGAUUAGAUACCCCGGUAGUCC
rnacentral:rRNA from 1 species